rnacentral:tRNA from 1 species
AAGAAAGAGGCAGAGUGGUUAUGCGGUUGGCUUGAAACCAUCUAAUGGGGGUUCAAUUCCUUCCUUUCUUG